ACCAGCGGCGGUAGCACGUUAAACGCACCAGAUCCAAAUGGAUCACUAAAGUUAAGUAACGUUUCGCGUGAUUAAUAUGUAUCUGGAUGGGCGACCAUUUGAACAGUCUCAUAUUGCUGGCU
rnacentral:rRNA from 1 species